rnacentral:rRNA from 1 species
CCUACGGGAGACAGCAGUGAGGAAUAUUGGUCAAUGGCCGGAAGGCUGAACCAGCCAUGCCGCGUGAAGGUCAGUGCCCUAUGGGCGUUAAACUUCUUUUGUGCGGGAGCAAUAAUGGUCACGUGUGGCCAGACGAGAGUACCGUACGAAUAAGCAUCGGCUAACUCCGUGCCAGCAGCCGCGGUAAUACGGGGGAGGCAAGCGUUAUCCGGAUUUAUUGGGUUUAAAGGGUGCGUAGGCUGUGAGGUAAGUCAGCGGGGAAAUGCCCCCGCUCAACGGGGUGAAGUGCCAUUGAUACUGCCUUGCUGGAAGGCGGAUGCCGUGGGAGGAAUGUGUGGUGUAGCGGGGAAAUGCAUAGAUAUCAGACAGAACACCGAUUGCGAAGGCAUCUCACGAAGCCGCGAUUGACGCUGAUGCACGAAAGCGUGGGUAUCAAACAGGAUUAGAUACCCUAGUAGUC